rnacentral:rRNA from 1 species
GACGUAGGGCGCAAGCGUUGUCCGGAUUUAUUGGGCGUAAAGAGCUCGUAGGCGGCUUGUUGCGUCGUCCGUGAAAACCCGUGGCUCAACUGCGGGCUUGCGGUCGAUACGGGCAUCACUGGAGUUCGGCAGGGGAGACUGGAAUUCCUGGUGUAGCGGUGAAAUGCGCAGAUAUCAGGAGGAACACCGGUGGCGAAGGCGGGUCUCUGGGCCGAUACUGACGCUGAGGAGCGAAAGCGUGGGGAGCGAACAGG